GAGCAGAAAUGUAUCUGAAAAUAAAAUUUGAAUGCAAAACAGAAAAUAAUUCUGUUUGAACAGAAACUGAAACAGACUUACUCAGACUUAUUGAUCUAGGCUAAUUUGAGAACAUUUGAGAAAAUUGUGUGGUUUGUCUUACCUAACUCUAACCAUACCUAACCUAACUCAACCUCUACCCUAACCCUGGUUUACUGAUAUAUUCUCUGUGUUUUAAUUUUACAGGAUGUGGAAGACGGUCUUGACGAGGCCUUCUCAAGCAAUAUGGAGGUGGAUGAGAUGGACUCAGACUGGCAGAGUCCCGCUCCGGACCGGCGCUGUCUGAAGCUGCAGCUCUGAGUCUGACGGCAGCCGAUCUGGCGGACCUGCUGUCAGGCAGCGACGAGGACGACUCUGAGUGAAGGACCCCUCCAGCAUCACCCAACACCCCCCCCCCCCCCACCCCACACACACCCAUCCAGGACAGUCCACAGUCACAGUCUUCAAUCGAAAGAGACAGCCUGCCUCAUCUCCCAUUCACCAUCUCACAGAUGCCCAAGGCUCUCUCCACCCCCACCCCCCCUUUGCACCCCCAUAAAAACCACAGGUCUCUCUUUCUCUCUCUCUCUCUCUCUCUCACACAACACACACUGACUGCAAUACUGCCUACAGCUAUCAUCUUCUUGUCUCUGUACAGCUGAGACACCUUACAACAAAUACCUCACAGACGGCAAUGAAUUUCUCUCCAUGCACGCAACAUUUCCCACAAGGAUCUCCUACCACAAACCACAGUCACUCCCAGAUGACUUUCAUGGAUAUUUUUCCUUUCUGACAGCACAAGUCCCAUGUUCCAAGAGGAAGGAUCAGUUCCUACUGAGUAGGCGGCAUCUCCGAAUGAUCAAUGCAAGGCUGAGAGGCCUGCCUAAUGGACUAAAUUUCCCAGAAUCACUUAACCACAAAUAUUUGGCCACAAACCUACCAUCAAUAAUUCAUACAGUAAAUGGUAUCAAAUAUAAAUACAAAAAAACGAAAGCGUUUCGACUAUUGGCUCCCAUGGCAGAUGUGCGUAUUGAUGAUGUGAUGUCUGCCCCUGCAUUCUUUUUGAGAGUGCGGUGAAGCUAAAAUUAACUUGAAUUCGUUCCCAGAAAGUGAGUAAGCCAUGUCAGCCUUUGAUGUCUUUGAUAUGUUGGGACUUUCAUGCAGAUGAUGACUCAGCAAUUUCACCUUGAUGUUUGUGUGACACACACACUCUCCUUCAGUCAUCCUAACACUUGGAUUACCUUUUUUGUUGCCGAGCGUGUGACUUGAUACUGUGUCGUCUGACUUGAUCGAACUCAAACAGCUGUGGUCAUAGACACAGAGGUUCUCUCUGUGUGCAGACGUAAGGUUUACAUCAACACAGGAUUCUCUAACUAGCUAAAGCUCGAGACUACCUAACUGUGAGGACUGUCAGCCCAAAUUUGGCACUCUGUUAAAGCUGUUUCAGUAGCAGCACACACACGUUUGACCCCUGCUCCAAGGGAGCAGAUAUGAAAAGGCACAACAUCUCUCAAUUUAUCUCUUGCUCUCUUAUUUCUAAUUUUCUUUUUAAUUUCUUUCUUUCUUUCUUUCUUCUUUCUUUCUUUCUCUCUUUCUGUCUUUCUUUCUUUCUCUCUUUCUUUCUUUCUAUCUUUGUGUCUCUGUCUUUUGUGCGUCCUUGGACAAACAGGGUAAUUCAUAGAAGAAAAUGUUAGCAUGAAACUUUGAAGGCAUCUCAGGUUCCAAGCAAACUGGAGUGUUCAUCAGAUUUGUGCAUCUCCUUCAUGUCAGUAUGUCUAUCAUUGUGGCCUAUUUAUUGGACUGGAUAUUUGUUUCUCUCUCUUUUUUUUCUUUUUUUUAAGUGAAACUUGACUGACUGUUGAAAAUGUAAUUUUACUUCAGAACCCAUGUAUGGGAUCUUCAUAGCACACACAUGAACACAACUGUUGUAUGAAGCAUGAACUGUAUGGCAAACAUAAGUUCCUAUAUGUACAAAUGCAAGAUAUUGUUCAAACUUUAUACAGGCUCUCUUUAUAUAUGUUUAAUAUUUACUUACCAUGAAGUGUGACCAAAGUUUUGUGUGAUUUUGUUUUGAGAUUAGGUUGAAUUUGUUUAGAUUUGUGAUUAAUAUCCUUGCUUGUAUUACAUUAAAGAGGUAGUAAUACUUGUGUGUAUAGCACUAAACUUUUGCAUUAUUGACAAACAGUUCUCAUAGCGGGAUUUACUAUAUUUUAAAAAUAAGAAAUAGAUUCAUGUUUGUGGCCUAAUGGCGAAGCUGAUAAAGAAAAUAGUUUUUAUUUACAUUGUAAAGUUGAAGCACAUUCCUGGCAUUGUUACUCUGGCCCUCUUAUUUAACUGGUUUGUAUACCUAUACUAAGUUUCAUAAUUCAAAUGUUUGGCCCUUGUUACUUAAAAAACACAAAGAGAAUAUGGCCCGAGCAUGGCAGUACUUACUGACUGCAUUACUUCAUUCAUCACUGUUGGGGCAUCCGUUACCAAAACAGCCACUGCAAGGAAUGUUCAUAUAUAUAUACCAUAAGAGCAGAAAAAUGACACACAUUAUGAUACUGUAUUUUUUCAUAACUAUAGUAGUAUACUUUAAUGGAGUUUUCUCAUACUUCUCGUUCUUUAAUUUCCCUGUGUGGGAUUAAUAAAGGUUAUUUUAUAUACGCUAUCAUUAGUAAAGUAGGAUCAUGUAUUGGCAGUAUCUACUUACCAGAUUGGCAGUUCAUAUAAAUUCAUGUGACUUGACCAGGCCACCAUCUUGAAGUACAAUAAGUAAUGUAGUUUGAGCCUAUCCAUACCGUAUUCAUCUCUGGAUUGCCCAGUAAAGUUUGGUCAGUCAUUUGCACCCUUUCUCCUCUCAAGGUCAACUUCAAACACACACGUUUUAGCUGAAUAUGAACUCUUUGCAGUUGACUCUGAAACUUUAAAUUGGUCCUCUGGUUCUUAUGUGUGUGUGUGUGUGUGUGUGUGUGUGAGACAGAUUUAAUGUUUCUCACUUCUUUUAGUCUUGCAUUCUCUCUAUGUUUCUGUGAAAUUCGAAGUCGAGGCUGCAAAUGCGACUCAAUAUUAUGCAGUUAUUUUAGAUAUGACAGAGCAGUCUCUCAGGAGAUAAGGACUGAAUUCCAAUUGACAAGCCACCGGAAGAAAGAAAUAAAGAAGGCAGAAAUAGUCUGAGAGGGUCCUAUUUUUUGCCAGUUCAGUCGUAUUUUGUGCUUGUGUCAAUGAGGAUGAAGCAGGUAUGUGCUGAACGUUGUCUUUGUCGUACACAUCUGAAUGAGUCUUUCACCUCCAUGCGGCACAGAAAUUGAGUUAUUUUUGGGUCUACUCAGCGUCUGCCCCGGGGUGAAAGCCAUCUUCCUAUCAGAACAGCCAACGUGAAUGAAGUAAGACCAAUAAGUAAGCCCCAUAUAAACACAGUGGAGUUUAUUUUUCUAGACAAUUCCAGUUGAUAUUAUGAACAUCUGUAGGUUAUCUUUUAUUCCACCAAGUCUGGGCUUUAUUUUCUGCUCUAUAAAUGUGUGUCUUGUGAGUUAUCCAUUAACUAUUUGUAUUUGUCAAGGCUGGUGCUUGUUUGGGUGUCACUUUAUGGUACAGUGCUCUUAAUUCCUGUCUGGUGGUUUUUAUCCAUCUGGUGUAAUUAAUGCAGUGAUUAUUGCUUGUGUCAACAUGCCUUAAUUCAUGGUUUAAGGACAGCGACAGGGUAAAAAUGUAUCAGAGCAGCUGAUAAGCUAUUUCAUACAGUGACUAUUCUGUCGAAGUUGUCUGCCUUUUUCACAGAAAUGCCAUCAAAACAAAUUAGUGUCCAAAUACUACAUAUAUUUAAAAAAAAAAAAAUGUAAACUUUUUUUAUGAUGGGCGUAAUCCAUAAGCCCUGAUACAUACAGCAAGACCAGCUAUUUAGGAAUUUGUACCACUGUACCAUGGAGUGAUUCCUCAACUUUUGCUGAAAUCUAUUUUUUGUUGCGGAGAAACAAGGGCGAAAUAAACAUUUUUUAAUCAAUAACUUCGUGUUUAAAUGUGAAUUGGUUGACUAUAAAAUUGUUUUAUAAAAGCAAUAUAGUACUCGUGCGAGUGGGGU
ensembl:lncRNA